rnacentral:lncRNA from 1 species
GUUUUGUGCUGCAAGGGCAAGCCUAGAGAACAGUUACAUCAUAUAAUUUUUAAAAUUUGGAGAGCCCUUGUCAGAGGUCACUUGUCCUUUUCUCAUUUUCACACAGUACGGAAGGAAGAUACGGGUUUGUUUUUUUUUUUAAGUUUUGUUUCAGGUUCAGGGGGUCCAUGUGCAGGUUUGUUAUAUAGGUAAACUUGUGUCACAUGUCACAGGGGUUUGGUGUACAGAUUAUUUCAUCACUCAGGAACUAAGCAUAGUACCUAAAAGUUAUUUUUCCUGAUCCUCUCCCUCCUCCUCCGCUCCUCCCUCAAGGAGACCCCCGUGUCUGUUGUUCCCCUCUUUGUACCCACUGGUUCUCAUAUUUAGCUCCCACUUAUAAGUGAGAACAUGAGGUAUUUGGUUUUCUGCAUUAGUUUGCUAAGGAUAAUGACCUCCAGCUCCAUCCAUGUUCCUUCAAAGGACAUCAUCUCAUUCUUUUUUAUGGCUGCAUAAUAUUGAAUGGUAUAUAUGUACCACAUUUUCUUUAUCCAUUCUUCUGUUGAUGGGCAUUUAGGUUGAUUCCAUAUCUUUGCUAUUGUGAAUAGUGCUGCCAUAAACAUAUGUGUGCAUAUUUCUUUACGGUAGAAUGAUUUGUUUCUUUGUGUAUAUACCCAGUAAUGAGAUUGCUGGAUCAAAUGGUAGCCCUGGUUUUAGUUCUUUGAGGAAUCACCACACUGCUUUCCACAAUAGCUGAACUAAUUUUCACUCCCACCAGCAGUGUACAAGGGUUCCCUUUUCUCUGCAACUUCACCAGCGUCUGUUAUUCUUUGAUAUUUUAGUAACAGCCAUUCAGACCUGUGUGACAUGGUAUCUCAUUGCGGUUUUCAUUUGCAUUUCUCUAAUGAUUAAUGACAUUGAGUAGUUUUUCAUAUGCUUGUUGGCUGCAUGUAUGUCUUCUUUUGAAAAGUGUCUGUUGAUGUCCCAGAAGAAGUAUAGAUUUUUAACAAAAUUUGACUGAUGAUUACAGAAACCAAGUUGGGGCAGCUGCCAGUUGCACAACAACAUCCACCUCCUGUCCUGCAUAGCCAUCUAAUUAGGGAGUGGAAAUACCCUACCCAAGCUUGAGCAAUCAGAUCCUAUCUACCUGGAACUUGAAGCUUAAAUGGAGAGACACAGACUGAAAGUUGGGAGCACUGGGUCACAUUAAGAGCCUGUUCCAGCAAGAAGGACGUUGAACUUCUGCUUCUCCAUUUCAGGGACUGUUCCCGCCUUUCUGAUUCUUAUUGUCUAUUUAUCCUUCCAAUCCUAUGGGCUUCCCUGCAUAUUUUUCCAGAAUGUUUUUCUUCAGUUAGGCAGCACUGGGUUUUGUUGUUGACAAUUAAAGAAACUUCACUGAUUCCGAUGGGGUACAGGGAGACGACAGUGUGAAGUGGAGAUUAGAUAUUGUUGCCCUGGGGUUCAUCAGCCACGCCCAUCCCCCAGCAUUUCCCCUCCUCUGUGCUCUGCCAUGUUGAGGACCAGCCCACCUCCACCAUCAGCAGUGCCUACAAUUGAAGCCCCCAACUCCCCUCUGACACAUAAUACUUCCCAGAGUUGCCACUAUUUUGCAUUGUUAUGUAGAAUAGUUUAGCUAGUCUGUUGAGCUUCUCUCUGUCUCAAACUUCCCACUCCAGAACAGGAUUUUGACUUGACCUCUGCAUACUCUGACAUUUUGUGUUUUUCUCAAAACAAAAGACCAACAUUCCUCCAGGGAUGAGUUCUGCUUUUACUCUGACAGAAAAACUGUUGGCAGCUUUAAAAUAUCAGUUAGUUUCUGCUUCUAGCCCUGAAGAUUUCAGACAUAUUGGAAGUCAGACCCCCAGUCCCUUGUCAUAGAAAUACCCACGUGCCUUGCUUGUUUAAAACACCAUAUUGCACCAAGAGAGGUGCACCUGGGCUUCCUGCUUCCUCAUUUUCUUACAAACUUGUUUCCCUCCCUUGAGAAUUGGGUACCUCCUUUGAUGCUUCUGGCUUCUCCUACAGGUUACAUGACUUAGUACAUAAUCAUGUCCUUUUGUUUCUCUCCAAGCUCUUUCAGCAAUUCAGACCCAGGGAGAGAAUCCAGAGUAGAAAGGCUUCUCUCUCUCUCCAGACUCCCCCCAGGCAUCUGGCGUUCCUCACACAGCUGAGGUGGACUGGUGGCAUGGUGACAGGCAAGUGGGAAACAGGCCACCAUUCAGGUGGUCUGCUGCUCGUGAUCCACUGUGGGCUGAGGAGUGAAGCAUCAAGCAAUCCCGGCUGUCCAGCAAGAAGGCUGACACGUCUCCAGGAGAGAAAGGAGAGGCAGUCCUCCCCAGAGGGCAGGCAGUGAGCCUCACCCUCUUCCCAUGGCAUCACACAGCUCAACUGCUGCCAAGGAGGAGCGACUGUCUUUCUGCACCAAGUAUCAGGUAGGACUGACCUGAUCAGGUGAGCCCUUAAAAAAGACGAGAAGCAGCAGCAGACACUCUCUGCUGGCCUGGAAGAAAGGAAAUGACCAUGGCGUGGACUGCCUAUGGAGAGGACCAUGCAGCUGAGUCCUGAGGGCAGCCUAUAGGAGCUGAAAUUGACCCCUAGGCAGGAGCCAACAAGUAAACAGGGACCUCUGCCUUACAACCACCACAAAUGAAUUCUGCCAAAUGCCUCAAUAAGUUUGGAAGAAGAUCCUGAGCUCCAGGUGAGACCCCUACAGCCCCAGCCAACGUGUUGAUUUCAGCCUUGUGAGGUCCCAAGCACCCUAAGCAGAGAACCCAACUACCCCAAGCCCAGACAUUUAACCCAGAAGAAACUCGAGAUAACUAAUAGAUGUUGUUUUAAGUCCCUAAGUUUGCAGUAAUUUGUUGUGCAGUGAUAAAAACUAAUACAGCCAUUUAAAUAUUUUGGUAUUUAUUUUUAGAGGAUUAGGAAGUCCCUGGAGAAUUUUAAGGAGGAUCCAGGAGGGAGUAACAUAAUCACAUUGGAUUUCUGAAAUCCUGAGGCUGUCAUAUGUAGGAUGAAUAGGAAAGGUGCACAGGAGGAAGGCAGAGUCCAGUAAGGAGGUCAGAGUUGAUGGUGCUUCUGACAGUAGGGAUGGAGUUGGUCAAGAGAGUGGUAGACAGAAAAAAUGUUCAGGCAGUAACCAAAGAAAACUCUCAGAUCCUUACCUUUUGGAGAUAUAUUUGGAAAUGUUUGCUUCAAGAUAAUCCAGACAGUGGGUAAGAGUAUAGAUGGAACAAAAUUUGUCAUGCUUUAAUAAUCGCUCAGGCUGAGCAGCAAGUAUACCAUGUUUAUUAUACUUUUAUCUCUAUUUUGUGGGUAUACAAAUAUAUUGAUUUUUAGGUAAAAUGUAUACACAGUGAAAUACACAGAUUUUAAGAAUUCAUUAUGACAAAUUUUGACAAAAACAUAUACUUACAUGACCCACACUCUCUGAUAUGGUUUGGCUCUGUGUCCCAACCCAAAUCUCAUCACAAACUGUAAUCCCCAUAUGUCAAGGGAGGAACCUGGUGGGAGGUGAUUGGAUCAUGGAGGCGGUUUCCUCCCAUGCUGUUCUCGUGAUAGUGAGUGAAUUCUCAUGAGAUCUGAUGGUUUUAUAAGUGGCAGUUUCCCCUGCUCUUCUCUCACCUGCCAACAUGUUUGACGUGCCUGCUUUCCUUUCCACCUUGAUUGUAAGUUUCCUGAGGCCUCCCCAGCCAUGCAGAACUGUGAGUCAAUUAAACCUCUUUCCUUUAUAAAUUACCCAGUCUCAUGUAUUUCUUUACAACAGUGUGAAAAUGGACUAAUACACCCUCUGUCAAGAUAGAGCAGUUCCAUCACCCAAGAAAGUUUCCUCCACCCCUUACCAGCCAAUCUCAGGCCCCCAUCCAGGGUCAACUACUGUUGUUCUGAUUUCUGUUGUUGUAGAUUAGUGUUUGCCUAUUCUAGAACUUCAUAUAAAUGGAAUCACACAUGUUCUUUCUUGUGUCCCGCUUCUUUCACUCAGUGUAAUGCUUUCAU